ACCAGGGGCCCUGGUAAAGGGUCUCCGGAGCGUGCUCAAGCCAACCAGCCGAGCCGUUCCGUGACUGCACUGCCCACAAGGCGGACUGACGAGGUUGCGACUGGAACGAGUCGUCCCGAGGGACGGGGAAGCGCUAGACGUAUCAACCAGGUCAUGUGUCGCCCAUUGCCCCACGGCAGCCACGCCGGCUGUGGGCCAGGUACGCCGAUCAGGUUGCCGCUGUCCGAAUCCCCUCC
rnacentral:ncRNA from 1 species